rnacentral:rRNA from 1 species
UACGUAGGGUGCGAGCGUUUGUCCGGAAUUAUUGGGCGUAAAGAGCUUGUAGGCGGUUUGUCGCGUCUGCUGUGAAAAUCCGGGGCUCAACCCCGGACUUGCAGUGGGUACGGGCAGACUAGAGUGUGGUAGGGGGAGACUGGAAUUCCUGGUGUAGCGGUGAAAUGCGCAGAUAUCAGGAGGAACACCGAUGGCGAAGGCAGGUCUCUGGGGCCACUACUG